rnacentral:tRNA from 2 species
ACGCUCUUAGCUCAGCGGAGAAGAGUGCCGGAUUCCAAAUCUGGAGGGCGGGGGCUCAAAUCCCUCAGAGCGUACCA